ACUUGAGGAGGAAGCCCCGGCUAACUACGUGCCAGCAGCCGCGGUAAUACGUAGGGGGCUAGCGUUAUCCGGAUUUACUGGGCGUAAAGGGUGCGUAGGCGGUCUUUCAAGUCAGGAGUGAAAGGCUACGGCUCAACCGUAGUAAGCUCUUGAAACUGGGAGACUUGAGUGCAGGAGAGGAGAGUGGAAUUCCUAGUGUAGCGGUGAAAUGCGUAGAUAUUAGGAGGAACCCCAGUUGCGAAGGCGGCUCUCUGGACUGUAACUGACGCUGAGGCACGAAAGCGUGGGGAGCAAACAGGA
rnacentral:rRNA from 1 species